UACGUAGGGUGCAAGCGUUAAUCGGAAUUACUGGGCGUAAAGCGUGCGCAGGCGGUCUUGCAAGACAGAUGUGAAAUCCCCGGGCUCAACCUGGGAACUGCAUUUGUGACUGCAAGGCUAGAGUACGGUAGAGGGGGAUGGAAUUCCGCGUGUAGCAGUGAAAUGCGUAGAUAUGCGGAGGAACACCGAUGGCGAAGGCAAUCCCCGGGACCUGUACUGACGCUCAUGCACGAAAGCGUGGGGAGCAAACAGG
rnacentral:rRNA from 1 species